rnacentral:misc_RNA from 1 species
AACGCACAUUGCGCCCCUUGGUAUUCCGAGGGGCAUGCCUGUUCGAGCGUCAUUAUAACCAAUCCAGCCAGUCUGGGUCUUGGGCUUCGCCAUCCGGCGGGCCUUAAAAUCAGUGGCGGUGCUGCCAGGCUCUAAGCGUAGUAAAUACCUCGCUAUAGGGUCCUGGUGGAGGCUUGCCAACAACCCCCAACUUCUUAGGUUGACCUCGGAUCAGGUAGGGAUACCCGCUGAACUUAA